rnacentral:lncRNA from 1 species
GUUUUUUCCUCAGGCAUUUCAAAGGUGAAAGAUUCUCCCCCGGGGCCUGAAAGCUUAAGGGAAUGGAUAUCUCCUCCCUCCUCAGGCCCAGCCCCAAGGCUCAAGGCCACUUGCCCCAGGAAGAUAGCAGAAACAGGAAGAAAGCUGGCCGAGAGACACAUACCCGCUGAAGAUCGAAAAGGAAGCUGUCAAGGUACUACGUAGCAGUCACUUCAGACUCGGACACUUCCUGUUUACAGAGGACUAUAAAACCCCUGCCCCGUCCUCACUUGACGCUGACGCCAUUUUAGGCCUCAGCCCAUCUGCACCCAGGCGCUCGUUAAAACAGCCUGUAGCUCCACACCGCCUCCUGUUGUCUGUUGGCACGUUCUCGGGGUUCCAACCGAUACAAGAGCCUUGCAAAAGGUUGGGAUCAUGGUGCCAGAGGCAGGACCAAAAUGAGAUCCCCUCAGACAAAUUGGCAACCCCUGGAAUGGAGUGUGGUAUCAACUGAGCCCACUGUGUAUCUCCUCUUGGAUUCUAGGACUCUUACUUUGGAUAAUGGUGUAAUUGAAAUUUCACAUUCAGUAGCUUCUGCUGGUAACUUGACUGAACCUGAGCUAUGAGAUGCUUUAGUCUACCUAGUGGGUGAGUAUGGCAAUAUUUCUCAUACAGCCAUUGCUCACGCUCUGCUCGAAUUCAGCCUAGUCAUGGGAUACUAGAUGAUAAAAUUGCUCUAUGUAAUCUAUUGGUUAAACAAGGAAAUGUCUUUGCUAUUACUAACAUUACAUGCUGUAUCUGGACAAAUCCCUCAGGGAAAGGUGAGGUCUAUAUACAAAAAAAGUAAGAAAAUAGGCCACGUGGUUAAAAAAAAAAAAGUGUCACCUAAUUUCCCAUGAUUAUUUGAUUUAUUUAAUUGGUUUCCUUUAAGCCCAGGUUUAUAGCUCAAACUAUUAUGUAAACUGAGAUUAUCAUAUCACUAUUAAUUUUUCUUUGUAUUUUUCUUUUUAAUUUUUGUUCUUGUUACUCAUUAAUUUUUUCCAGAGGUACAACCCCUAUGAGAGUAAUGUUGGCCUAGCACUUUGAGAUGAUAAUCAAUACCUGUGGAACAGACAUAUUGAACUUACCAUGGACCCAGGUAGACCUAGCCUGAGAACCACUACCUCCAUACCUCCUUUGAAAUUGCUCAAAUGUAGAUAAGAAAGUUUUGACACUGACUUACUCAUCAAUUACUGUCUCUGAUGUGGGACCAGACCAGACCAACCAGGACAGGUUCAUCUAGGCACCAAGGGACAAUCAAAACUUAAAUACAGGAAAUUGAUCAUCAAUGCUUGUGGGUUGUGGGUAAAGAUCUUGAUCAAAAGGAGGAAAUGUCUGAAAGCUGUAAGAAUCAAAAUGGAGUCACUUGUGUUAAAACCCUGACAAAUAGAGCUGGGGAAGGCCAUGAAGUGAGGGUUCUUAUAUAUGAAUGCCUGAUAACAAAAACUAUCACAGAAGACUGCAAAAACCACAAUCUUGUGCAAAUGUAAUUACAAACUUACACACACACACACACACACACACACACACACACACACAAUGCUUCUUGAGAACAUCUGCCAAGCAACUGCCUGUCCAAACUUGGACUUGUGCCACCCUUGUUAUUAAUCUUUGUCGCCAAGUAUAAUUAUCUCAAAAUAAUUAUGUAAUUCUCAUUUUUUCUUUAAAAUGCUUUGUCUUCUUUUACCUUCCUGAAUAUGCACAUAGUUUACUAUGGCCUGUGUAUUCCCAUUGCAAUGCCGAUUCUCAAAUACAUACCAUUUUCUUUUAGAGAGUCUCCCUCUCUGUUAUUAAGGUUGACACAAUCAACCUAAACACAGAAGGCUGAAGGGCUUAGAGGACUUUGCCUAGAGGAAAAGGUGCUGCAAUGUUCAUUAGCCCAUUUUCAGUUUUAUAGGCAAACUAGGCCUGCCUAUCACCGAGACCAAAAACUCUCCAACUUAGUUAGGCAUAUCUCACCCUUCUGCUAUUGGUUCAGGUUUCGACAAAGCCUCCUCUUAAAGGACACCUUAUCCUCUCUGCUCUAGGACCCUAAACAUUGGCAACUCUGACAGGAAAGUUUCAGAAUUCUAUGUUCUGUCCAUUAUCAUUCUCUUUCUAUGGAAAACUCAAUUCCCCACCCCACCCCCCGACUUUAUUUUUACCUUGUUCAUACUCUUGUGUGUUAGGGUGAAUCACGGUCCCCAAAAAUAUCCAUGUCCUAGGACCCAGAACCUAUCAAUAUGUUACUUUACAUGGAAAAAGAACUUUGCAGAUGUGGUCAAGUCAAGGAUAUGGGGAUGAAGAGAUGAUUCUGAAUUAUCCAAGGGUCCUUAUAAAAGAAAGUUAUAUGAGAAAAAAAAGGGAUAAAGGCUAUGUGAUAUGAGGCCCUGAGUAAAAGAAUGAGGGCAGCCACUAAUGUUGGAAAAGGCAGGGAACAGGUACCACCUUCAAAAUUCCAGAAGGAAUCUGUUCUGCUGGCACCUUAGUUUUAAUCCCAUAAGAUUCAUUUUAAACUUCUGACCCCCAGCACUUGAGAGGAAAAAUUUGUGUUGUUUGAAGCUCCUAAGUUUGUGAUAGUUUGUUACAGCAACAAUUGGAAACUAAUAAAUCUUUAACAUGUUCUUGGAAACUAUGAAAGAAGGGUAUUUGAAAUAGACCCUAUUAUGGCUCUAUUAUGACUUACACCAUUGAGAUUCUGGUGUACAGAACUGGGAAAAAGUAGUCAAGUGGGAAGAAAUCCUCAAUACGUUGUCUUCAUAAUGCUUGUUUCUUACUCUGUAUGCUACUUAUUAAAUUUUACAUAUAUUAGUCUGCUCAAUUUUUACAAAAUGUGUUGAGCAGGUAGGGAAGAAACUCUUGAGCUCUUUUUACAGCUAUAGAAAAUGAGGUGCACAAUGUUUAAGUCAUGUAGCUUAAAUCAUACAGAAAAUCAGUUCAAAACUCAAAUUCUUGGGCUCCUCACCAGACCUUACUGAAUGAGAAUCUUUGUAGAUUUUUAUGCACAUUGAAGUUUGUGAUGCAUGAGUCCAGAACAGAGGUUGGCAUGCAGCUUGCAGGUUGAUUUUGUAAAUAAAGAUUUGAUAGAACAUGGCCAUGUCCUUUCAUUUCAUUGUUUAUGACUGUUUUUGUUACAAUGACUGAGUUGAAUCAAGAGACUUUAUGGUCUGCAAAACUUAAAACAUUACUCUCUGAUCCUGCACAGCAAAAGUUUGCUGACCUCUGGUUAGAACACAGCACAGUCUAAAAUGAGGUGUUAAAUGGAUGAUUCUGUGAUUUUUUUCAGAAUGUUAUAACGUGGCCAAGAAAAUAGCUGUAAAAUAUCCAACACAUUAGCCAAACUGCUUCUACCUGAAUAUAACCCUCUCUCCUGUUUCUGAAUGUACUAGAGUGCAUUGCAUGAAAACCCAUAGGAAUUCAGAACUAAAAGUUGAUAAUAACCAAAUAAUGAGUCCAUUCAGUUUUUUCAAAUGUGUUAGAAUAAGUGGCAUUUCUGUUACUAUGAUUAGUGCACUGAAAUAAAUCUGAAAUGCAAUGUUAGAGUGAGAUACAACUUUUUAAUGGAGAAAAAUACAGCUUUUUAAGCUUUAAACUGAUAUGAGCCAUGAAUGCGCAAUAAAAAUGAUGCCACAAAUUAUUUUAGCCCUUAUAUAAAUGCAUUGCAAAUUACAUUUUCUCUAGCAUUAUCAAGAAAUACAAUAGUGUAAUAUUGAAACCAAUAUUCACACACUGCUUACACAACCCACUGUAUGCUUUCAUAACACGAUUUUUAUUAAGACCAUGUACUCAACAUGGAAAUAACUUUAUUGUGAAUACGAGAUUUGAUGAGAUAGUUGCAAAAAAAAAAGGCUUUAUCUAUGUAUCUGUGUAUCUCACACAUACAGGAAAUUACUGUUCAAGUGAAAGUCUAAAAGUCUGGAAAAAAGCUAGAAGCAUUGUCUAUUUCUCAUUUCAGGAGUAGCUUCAGUUCACAAAAAAAGAAAAAAAAAAUCACUGCUUAUUAGAAAUUUACAAAUCAAGGAAAGCAGCUCUCCUCCACCCACCUUUCUUUUUUUUCUUUUAUUCCUUUUUGUUUUUUGUUUGUUUGUUUUUUGGUUUUUUUUUUUCUUUUUUGUUUUGAGACAGAGUCUUGCUCUAUCUCCCAUGCUGGGGUGCAGUGGCACAAUCUCGGCUCACUGCAACUUCCACCUCCAGAGUUCAAGCAAUUCUCAUGCCUCAGCCUCCUGAGUAGCUGGGACUACAGGCAUAUGCCACCAUGCCCAACUAAUUUUUGUAUUUUUAGUAGAGACGGGGUUUCACCAUGUUGGUAAGGCUUGUCUUGAACUCCUGACCUCAAGUAAUCCACCCGCCUUGGCCUCCCCAAAUGCUGGAAUUACAGGUGUGAGCCACUGCACCGGGCCCCUCCUUUCUUAGAGCUAGUUUUAUCUUAGUUUAAAUUUUCUUUUUGAAUUUCCUAUAAUUAUCUAAUGCUUUAUUUGUUAAUACUAUGAAACUUUAUGUACCUCUUAACCAAGUAUUGAUGACAGUAACCUACAGCCUUUAGGGAAAACACUUGAAAUGGCUUUUUAAAAAUUUUAUAUUUCAAAUUAAAAAUUCCAAGUAUAUAAAAUAAAGCUAUAGUAAAAUAAAGCCCCAUGUAUUCAUCACUCAACUUUUAUCAACAUUUUUCAUUCAUCUACCACCUAUACCGCUGUCUACUCUCCACAUCUCAAUCACUACUAUAACUACUCUAUUUACAGUUGUUUUUCCUGAAGGUAAAAUAUCACAUAUUCUAAUGCACAAAGGUUAGCUUUACAGUUUUGAAAAACAGAUACACCCAGAUAACCCAUAACCCUAGGGUGUCAUAGAAGAAUUUUUUUCUCACCAGAAUGUUUCUGUAUUUUCAUUCUAGUCAAUUUUCACCAUUCCCCCUUAAAUCUCCAGAAUUGGCAGUUGUUCUGAUUUUGUUUUUUUCAUUUUAGUUUAGUUUUCCUAUUUGGAAACUUUUUUAAUAAUGGAAGCCUACAAUUUCGUCUCUUUUUAUUCUAAUUUCUUUUGGUCUCAACAAUGUUGUUGAGAUUCAUUCAUGUUGAUGCAUUUAAUUUCUGGCUUUUCAUUGCUCAGUUCCAUUCUAGUGCACGAAUAGGCCACAAUUUGUUUUUACGUCCUCCUGUUGAUGGACAUUUGAGUUAUUUCAGAAUAAAAUUUUUGAAACCAAAAAUUUGCAUUGAUUAUAUUCAGGAAUUAUUCUGUAAAGCUGACAAAAUAAGGAACAAUAAUAAAGUAAAAUAAAUUCAUGGCAUUCUGAAACAAACUAUAUUAUAAAACAAACGUAGAUGUCCUGAGACUUCUCAUCAUCAUAGACUCCUAUCUAAUAGGGGAAGAGUUAGUUUUAAGUAUUAAAUGAGUUAAUACACAUAAAGCCUUUAUAAGCGUGCCUGUCACAUAAUAAGGACUCAGUGUUUCAUUGUUUUUAUUAUUUGUAAUAGGAAAAUAUAAUGAAAACAUUCUAAAAUGACUCAAUUAGAAUAACAUUUUAGACAAUAUGUGAUUACCAUAGCAUAUAAUACGGUCAGUUUAAUUCACUGUCAUUUUCAGCUGGAAGAUAAAACACGACUGAAAAAUAGCUAUUGCAGGUCUCACGCCACUUGAUUACUACCCUGAUUUCUCUAUCCAUAGCUACCAACCCUACUUUAAUAUGUGCAACUUUCUGAAAAUAAAAUUUUAAACAGGGGACUGAAGGAAACGAGACUAUUUCACUCAGAAAUUUGGUUAAAGAAAUAGUUGCAAGGUCUCUCUGGCCUCUCCCCUACCCUGCUGUUAUCUCUGAAUCACCUGUCUCUCUCGAGCACAGGAUUAAUCUGUUCUCUCAAGUUCCCUUACUUUCCUAGAAACCAGAUAUGCUAAAGAGAAACAGAGUUGCCUUCUCUGAAAUUUCAUUAACCAGAAAAGAUGAAAACUCAUAUUCCAGAGGAGGAGAUUGAAAACUAAACCCUACACCUAGAGCCCAGACUUUGUUCCAAAUCAAACUCUCUGUUCAAUUUAAUUUCCAAAGAAAUUAUUUAUUAACCAUUGUCUGAGCAUUAAAUCUAUUCAUUUUCCCCAUAAAAAGCAUUUACUAUCCCUCAGACGGCCCCAUUUCUCCUAACUCUUCUUCCCCUAUGAAGAAGGCGUUAUACACAUCUGUACCACAUUGAGUUACUGGGUAAUCAUUUUUCUGUAAUUUCCUUAUGCUAUGCACAUUAAAAUUAAUUUGUAUGCAUUUUCCUAUUAAUUUGCUUUUUGUCUAUUCAGUUUCAGUGAAC